rnacentral:tRNA from 1 species
GGUUUCGAUCCAGGGACAUCAGGGUUAUGAGCCUGCGCGCYUCCACUGCGCCA